GGAACGGCCCUUCGCAGCAGGCGGAUGUGAACCCCGUCAGGUCCGGAAGGAAGCAGCGGUAAGCGUUUUCCCUGGGUGCCGGAGGUAGCCGCUCCCAG
rnacentral:SRP_RNA from 1 species